rnacentral:lncRNA from 1 species
UGCUGAGAGCUCAUCAGAGACCCUGGAUAGAGGCCAGCACCGUGACUCCCAGAGAGAGGACCUUUGGAUUUGUACCUUUGUUUACACCGGGCAUCAGGCCAAUUCAUUUGCGGUUUGAAAUAGAGAUGUAAAGGGGGUUUGAGGAAAAAUUGACAGUUUAGACAAUUUCCACGUUAGUGUUGAAGCGGGUAGGAGAGACUGGUUCCUGGUUUAAUCUGUGUAGAUAGGUUCUGUUUGGGAUUCUGGUUGUGGAUCAAAAGGAUGGAGGUGGUGCCUUCAUAUGGUGAGUACGUUUGGGAGUCAGACCUCUUGGGUCUGACUGAGCUCUGGUAUUUUGUAGCUAUUGAAUGGCCAUCUAAUGCUUACUGAGUACAUGGUGUGCUUGUUUGAAAAUAAACUUGUCUCAGAAUGGAUCUAUUAUAAGAAUGUUUGAUAGUGCCAAUGUCCCUAUGGAUUAAAACAAGACUGAAUGUCAGGUGUUCAGAAUCUGAUCGAGGCUGGGUUGGAGGUGAUCUUAGAGAAUUAAGCUGAUAAUCGUAAUAUGGACAGCUAAGUAGAGUUGGAGGCUCGGGAAGCUGGGCCUGACGGGCUGUUGGGACCACUGUCCAACCUUUAGGAUCAUAUGUGGAAAUCAGAGUAACAAGGAUUUGUGAAGCAGAUAGUUCUGGCCCUUAAUCUUAAAACCGUGAGAGACAAAUACCUGUUUUUAACAGUAGGGGACCAUGGUUACCUCUAAAAGUCCUAAAUUUCAAAACAGUUCCCAUUCUUUGCCUUAUCUGAUUCAAAAUAAAUGGAAUUCUAAACUAAAAUAAUGUAAUAAAGUUGAAUAAAGGGUUUUUUCACCAUGA